UACGUAGGGUGCGAGCGUUAUUCGGAAUUACUGGGCGUAAAGCGUGCGCAGGCGGUUUUGUAAGUCUGAGGUGAAAUCCCCGGGCUUAACCUGGGAAUUGCGUUGGAGACUGUAAGGCUGGAGUCUGGCAGAGGGGGGUAGAAUUCCACGUGUAGCAGUGAAAUGCGUAGAGAUGUGGAGGAACACCGAUGGCGAAGGCAGCCCCCUGGGUCAAGACUGACGCUCAUGCACGAAAGCGUGGGGAGCAAACAGG
rnacentral:rRNA from 1 species